AUUGAACGCUGGCGGCAGGCCUAACACAUGCAAGUCGAGCGAGCGGCGGACGGGUGAGUAAUGUCUGGGAAACUGCCUGAUGGAGGGGGAUAACUACUGGAAACGGUAGCUAAUACCGCAUACCAUCAGAUGUGCCCAGAUGGGAUUAGCUAGUAGGUGGGCUAACGUCUCACCUAGGCGACGCUCCCUAGCUGGUCUGAGAGGAUGACCAGCCACACUGGAACUGAGACACGGUCCAGACUCCUACGGGAGGCAGCAGUGGUGAAUAGUCCACAAUGGGCGAAAGCCUGAUGCAGCCAUGCCGCGUGUAUGAAGAAGGCCUUCGGGUUGUAAAGUACUGUCAGCGGGGAAGCGUUACCCGCAGAAGAAGCACCGGCUAACUCCGUGCCAGCAGCCGCGGUAAUUC
rnacentral:rRNA from 1 species